ACUUUUACGGUCGCAACAAUUCCUGAAAACACUGACCAGAUGACAUCCUCGAACUUUAAGACCAGAGCUUCGCCGGAAACCUCAACGGAACUAUGACCAGACCUCGGAACUGGAUGGAAAACACGAAUUAAAGACAGAAAAUGAAACCAAAUGAUUCUAUGAUGGUGACUAACUGGAGACCAUUGGCAAACUCGAAGGGAACCUCCUUGACUCCGACUGGAAAUGAUGGAAAAAUACCUAUGACAUGAUGUUACGCGCAACGGAAUUGCUGACUUUGAGUGUGCGACUAAGAUACUUGGUGGUGAUAUUUGAACGACACUCAUGAAGGUCAAAACAGUGCCAUUGGCGCUAUUAAUCAAGAGAGGAACGAUGGGUUCCC
rnacentral:lncRNA from 1 species